UAAUUAAAUUUUCAACAGGGGUGCCACUUUUCCGGAAUAACCCGGAAAUCCGGGUUUUGAUGGGUCCGAUUUUCCCCCCCUCCGGGUUUGCCUUCU
rnacentral:sRNA from 1 species